UGCCAGCAGCCCCGGUAAUACGGAGGGGGUUAGCGUUGUUCGGAAUUACUGGGCGUAAAGCGCACGUAGGCGGAUUAGUAAGUUAGAGGUGAAAUCCCAGGGCUUAACUCUGGAACUGCCAUCAAAACUUUUCAGCUAGAGUUUGAUAGAGGAAAGCAGAAUUUCUAGUGUAGAGGUGAAAUUCGUAGAUAUUUGGAGGAACACCAGUGGCGAAGGCGGCUCACUGGCUCGAUACUGACGCGGAGGUGCGAAAGUGCGGGGAGCAAACAGGAUUAGAUA
rnacentral:rRNA from 1 species